rnacentral:rRNA from 1 species
GUCGAGAAUCUUUCACAAUGGGGGCAACCCUGAUGGAGCGACGCCGCGUGGAGGAUAAGGUCUUCGGAUUGUAAACUCCUGUCAUGCGUGAACAAGGUUGCUUGGUUAAUACCUGGGCAAAUUGAUGGUAACGCAAGAGGAAGAGACGGCUAACUCUGUGCCAGCAGCCGCGGUAAUACAGAGGUCUCAAGCGUUGUUCGGAAUCACUGGGCGUAAAGGGUGCGUAGGUGGCGUGGUAAGUCAGAUGUGAAAGCCCGGGGCUCAACCUCGGAACUGCAUCGGAUACUGCCAUGCUAGAGUACGGGAGAGGUGACUAGAAUUCUCGGUGUAGCAGUGAAAUGCGUAGAUAUCGAGAGGAAUACCAAAGGCGUAGGCAGGUCACUGGACAGUUACUGACACUGAGGCACGAAGGCCAGGGGAGCGAACGGGAUUAGAAACCCGGGUAGUCC